UGGCGACCGGCGCACGGGUGAGUAACGCGUAUCCAACCUGCCCAUCACUUGGGAAUAACCUUGCGAAAGUAAGACUAAUGCCCAAUGACAUUUAUAGAAGGCAUCUGAAAUGAAUUAAAGAUUUAUCGGUGAUGGAUGGGGAUGCGUCUGAUUAGCUUGUUGGCGGGGUAACGGCCCACCAAGGCGACGAUCAGUAGGGGUUCUGAGAGGAAGGUCCCCCACAUUGGAACUGAGACACGGUCCAAACUCC
rnacentral:rRNA from 1 species